GUUUCGUCCGCUCAGAGAAGUCUCUAUUUUCAGUCCGUUUCGAACCAGCUGGUUGGAGGGCAGCCAUGGAAGAUCUGCAUUCAUUGUUAGACAUGCGUGGGUGGCGGUCGAUUUUUGUUUGGGAGGUGCGCUGCAAAUCCAGCCGCACUUUUAGUCUUCGUCUCACAGAUUUGGGGCCGGGAGAUUUCUCAUCCUUUCUACAGCCUUCGACUCAGACUUCCAUCUUUCUUGCUUGCGAAUAUUUGCAUCCUUUGUCUUCAGGUAUGCAUCCCGUCAACUUUUUAACAGAUCUUUUGGUCUUCAUUUCAUGAAUUUGAUUGUUGGCUGGGAGAUUUUUCGUCCUUUGUAGAGCGUGGGUAUGAGUCAUGUUCUAUCUUUAGGGUAUUAUUUAUUUAUUUUUUACGAAAUUGGGUUCAUUUAUGUGGUUAUUUUGAUUUCAGGUUCUUGGGUAAUCUCUAAUGCUUUAUUUAUUUAUUUUUUACGAAUUUGGGUUCAUUUAUUUGGUUACUUUGAUUUCAGGUUUUUGGAUAAAACAUUGGAAAGCAAAGACUAAGCAUGCUUUUUUUUAUUGAAAAAAAUUUCUUUUUUUAUCUGCUGUUGGUUGUUGUAUUCUAAAUAUGGAGAAAAAAAUUAAUGAUAAAACACAAGCAAAAAAGAAGUGAAGAUUAAUCAGGUUUUGACAAAAUAGAAAUUAGGAAUGAUUAACUAGCAACCAUGCUGAUAAAGUGCCAUCUUCCCUUCUUAGAUUGACUCUCCAGCAUAUGGUGUCUAGGGAAACAUAUAGUUUACUUUCUCAGUUCGAUAUGCUUGGUACAUAAGUUCUGAAAAUUGUAUGGCCUGAUUGAGCAGGCAUGCUGUAGAGUUCUUGCUUGAAUGUGUAUGGUUUGUCCUUUAAAAUUACAAUUGAACAUAAUAUCCUAGAUAUUAGGAUUGCCGCAGGCUUAUGUAGAUCACAGUCUGUGCAACGAUUCAAUCCUGAGUGAGAGAGUGGUUUUGUGAUUUUGAUUGUUUAGGGUGACUUUUGAUUGAGAUGUUUGAUUGAGUUGUCAGGACAAAGGGAAUGUAAAUUUAGAUCAACACUUAUAGAAAAUUAAAGUUAUAUAUUGAAGUUUUUGGUUUUUAGAAUUAGAAAGGCUGAGAAUACAGAAAUCAUGCUACAAUAUACCUGGAAUGAAUAUUUGUGCUGCCUCCUUUAAGGAAACUAAAUCUGUUAUGUCUUUGGCCUGUCCAAGUUAGCAUAUAUUAGAUAAACUGUACAUUAGUAUUUAUCAAGCAGUUUAAAAAGUGUCACCUUAUAAAACAGGGCCAAAUCCUCCCUCUCCCAGUUUAUUCACUACAUUGAAGUUGUUUGUUGCAGCUAAAACUCUUUUUAAAUUGAAGAGUGGUAGUUCUGCAUCAUUCUUCGCAGCUUCAGCUCUUUCUUUACUUAUACUCUCACUCAUACAGCCUUCCGUGCUCCCUGUUUCAUUCUUAUUAUUAGAGCAUUGGUUGUUUGGAACAAUAGAAUAUAUGUGUUUGUGUGAUUGAGAAAGAGAAAAAGAAAGAGAAGGGUGGUAGCACUAUACCUUCCAUUCCCAAGUAUUUCUUCCAUAUGAAGAAUUUGUUGGAUGGGAGAUUUUUUGUCAAGAGACUUUCUUUCUUUUAGUUUUUUGUCAAGAGACUUUUUUUUUGGGUCAAAAUAGAAAUUGGCAAUUAUUUUAUCUUAACCUCUAUUGUUUUUCUUUGGGGUUCUCAGGAAACAUUUCACUUGAUUCCUUGACUUGGUGGGCUUGAUUGAUUAUGAGUUUUGAGUCAAAUGUGCUCACUGUGUAUAUCUGUUUAACUAGGCUUGAUAUUAAUAUAUGCAUAUUGUUUGAGCCGUGUUCUAUCUUUAGGGUAUUAUUUAUUUAUUUUUUACGAAUUUGGGUUCAUUUAUUUGGUUACUUUGAUUUCAGGUUUUGGGGUAAUCCCUAAUGCUUUAUUUAUUUAUUUUUUACGAAUUUGGGUUCAUUUAUUUGGUUACUUUGAUUUCAGGUUCUUGAGUAAUCCAUAAUGCUAUAUAAGAGGAGCUGAGGUAUUUAUAUUUCACAACAUAUUGGGUUCUAUCAGGAAGGGGAUUGAAUCUCACAGAUUAGCUCAGGUAUUUCCAUCAUUGUUAUUAUUAAUUUUUUUAAUCAAUUGUCGAUUCAAUGACUUUGCUCUCUUGGAGAAAUCUUAGAAAUGGAAAUCAUUCUCAAUUUCUGUUUUGGUUGCUGAUAAAACACUGGAAAGCAAAGACUAAGCAUGCUUUUUUUUAUUGAAAAAAUUUUCUUUUUUGUUCUGCUGUUGGUUGUUGUAUUCUAAAUAUGGAGAAAAAAAUUAAUGAUAAAACACAAGGAAAAAAGAAGUGAAGAUUAAUCAGGUUUUGACAAAAUGCAACCAUGCUGAUAAAGUGUCAUCUUCCCUUCUUAGAUUGACUCUCCAGCAUAUGGUGUCUGGAGAAACAUAUGGUUUACUUUCUCAGUUCGAUAUGCUUGGUACAUAAAUUCUGAAAAUUGUAUGGCCUGAUUGAGCAGGCAUGCUGUAGAGUUCUUGCUUGAAUGUGUAUGGUUUGUCCUUUAAAAUUACAAUUGAACAUAAUAUCCUAGAUAUUAGGAUUGCCGCAGGCUUAUGUAGAUCACAGUCUGUGUAACGAUUCAAUCCUGAGUGAGAGAGUGGUUUUGUGAUUUUGAUUGUUUAGGGUGACUUUUGAUUGAGAUGUUCGAUUGAGUUGUCAGGACAAAGGGAAUGUAAAUCUAGAUCAACACUUACAGAAAAUUAAAGUUAUAUAUUGAAGUUUUUGGUUUUUAGAAUUAGAGAGGCUGAGAAAACAGAAAUCAUGCUACAAUGUACCUGGAAUGAAUAUUUGUGCUGCCUCCUUUAAGGAACCUAAAUCUGUUAUGUCUUUGGCCUGUCCAAGUUAGCAUAUAUUGGAUAAACUGUACAUUAGUAUUUAUCAAGCAGUUUAGAAAGUGUCACCUUAUAAAGCAGGGUCAAAUCCUCCCUCUCCCAGUUUAUUCGCUACAUUGAAGUUGUUUGUUGCAGCUAAAACUCUUUUUAAAUUGAAGAGUGGUAGUUCUGCAUCAUUCUUCGCAGCUUCAGCUCUUUCUUUACUUAUACUCUCACUCAUACAGCCUUCCGUGCUCCCUGUUUCAUUCUUAUUAUUAGAGCAUUGGUUGUUUGGAACAAUAGAAUAUAUGUGUUUGUGUGAGUGAGAAAGAGAAAAAGAAAGAGAAGGGUGGUAGCACUAUACCUUCCGUUCCCAAGUAUUUCUUCCAUAUGAAGAAUUUGUUGGCUGGGAGAUUUUUUGUCAAGAGACUUUCUUUCUUUUAGUUUUUUGUCAACAGACUUUUUUUUUUUUUUUUUUGGGGUCAAAAUAGAAAUUGGCAAUUAUUUUAUCACCUCUAUUGGUUUUCUUUGGGGUUUCAGGAAACAUUCACUUGAUUCCUUGUCUUGGUGGGCUUGAUUGAUUAUGAGUUUUGAGUCAAAUGUGCUCACUGUGUAUAUCUGUUUAACUAGGUUUGAUAUUAAUAUGUACAUAUUGUUUGAUCGUUAUAGAAUUCAGUUAAUUCUUUGAUAUAAUAAUAGAUAUUUGUAAUUGUGAAGUUGUUUACACAAAACUAAAUUUAUGUUGGUGUUAAAAAUAUAAGCAGGAUUUCAUAUAGUGAUAUAAAUUUUGUCAUCUUUUUCUCAUCCUGUGAUAACCUAUAUUUCUCUAAAAAUGUGAUUCAAUCCAAAUAUAAUUCAAUUAUUUGUUUAUUUCACAGCUUGAAUACACCAAAAGGCAAGGGACUAGACAUUUGCAUUCUGCUGUCAUUUUCAAGGUAUAAAACUCCUCUAAUUCAUUGUUUUUUUAAAUUGAGCAUUAUUAGUGAUGUUAGUCAAUUAAUUUUAAUUAUUUUGUAAGAUUUUAUAUUUGCUUUCCAUCAAUUAUGCUUGCAUACAAGUUAUUUACAAAUAAUCUUUAUUUUGUUGAUUGAUACAAGUUGGAUAUGCUUUAUUGCUAAAUUUUUUUUUCCUCUUUUAAAUAUUUUCCCUUUGAUGUUCUCAUUGAAUAUUUUAUCUAAAUCAUUAAUCUGGUGAACUUGGUUGAUUAUAAAUUUUGAGUUCAAUGUCUCAAUUGUACAUAUGGAUUUAACAAGACUUUAUAUAUAUAUAUAUAUAUAUACUGUUUAAUCAUUAUGAACCGAAGUUGGUUGUCUGAUAAAAUAAUAGAUAUCUAGAAUUGUUAUAUUAUAUUUUAAUUUUUAUUCUUCUAUAGCUGUGUCAUUUUGAUCGAAUAAAAAUUAGUAUCGUUUCUUUAUAAUUAUGAUGCAGUGAUAUAAAACAAUUUUGUACUAUGUACUUUCUUUAUAAUAUGUAUGCAUGUAUGUAGACACACACACAUAUCCGAUCCAAAUAUAAUUCAAUCAUUUGUUUAUUUCAUAGCUUGGAUACACCAAAAGGCAAGGGACUAGACAUUUGGAUUCUGCUAUCAUUUUCGAGGUAUAAAAACUCUUCCAAUUCAUUGUUUUCUGACAUUAACCAAUAUUAGUCAUCUUAAUCACUUGAUUUUAAUCAUUUUGUAAGAUUUUUUAUUUUAUUUUCAUCGAUUGUGCUUGCAUACAAGUUAUUUACAAGUAAUCUUUAUUUUGUUGAUUGAUACAAGUUGAAUAUGCUUUGAUGCUAAAAUUUUCCCCCCUUUUUAAAUAUUUUCCCCUUGAUGUUCUCAUUAAGCAUUUUAUUUAAAUUAUUAAUCUGGUGAGCUUGGUUGAUUAUAAAUUUUCAGUUAAAUGUCUCAACUAUACAUAUCGGUUUAACAAGGCUUUAUAUUAAUAUAUAUAUAUAUAUAUAUAUACUGUUUAAUCAUUAUGAAAUGAAGUUGGUUGUUUGAUAAAAUAACAGAGAUUUAAUUGAUGUAUAAAAUUAAAUACUUUUGCUUUAUGAAUUUAAUUAUUUGGAUUUGAACCUAUUAACAAAAACUGUUCUUCUACUUAUGUAUUUUAGGUUCUUGCUAUCAUCUUGCUUUUGCAUAUGUGUUGCUACAAGUGCUUAACAAAUUCUCACAUUACAGGUCAAUGUUUUCUAACUUUUCAAAAAAACUGUACAUAUCAUUUAUAACUAAUUGAUUAGCAAAUAUUAUAUCAUUUCAAGAUUUUCAUUUAUAUAAUUCUAUCAUCAUAUUUCUACAUUUAUUUUGCAUUCUUAGAAUUUAAAUGUUAUUAAUAAUGUGAAAUAUUACUCUUAUAUAUAUAUAUAUAUAUAUUUUCCCUAGAUAUCAACCUGUUUUUGGGAAAUUGAAAUCUUCGUUGAUAAUGUCGAAGAGAACUAGAAAUACCACGAGAAAACAAAUCAUGCAAGAACCUCAUAAUCUCAUCAUUUCAAAUGAUAUACAAGUCCCAAAUAAAAAUGUUUCUCAUAUUAAUAAUGAAUAUCCAAGCGAGAAAAUUCCCAUCAACAGUGAUCAAAACAUUUCUCAAGCUGAUAAAAAAAGACAAAAAUGUGUUGAAAGUACAUCAUCUAUCAAUGUGAAUAUAGUUGAAACAACACUAGAUGAAAUUCAAUUUCAUCGUUUUAAUCAAAUAAAUAAAGGUCAAGCAAUCUUUCAAAGAAAUAGGCAAGGUGGGUGUUUCCCUUUGCUUCAAAAUUUUCUUCAAAACUUGAACUACAUUGUGCUAUUACUAAUAACCUACAUUUAUGUUUUCUAUUCUCUCCAUUCUAUACCUCUAUAGGAAUAAUCCAAGAAUAUGCUGAUUUUGGAGAGAAGAACCAUAAGUGCAUUUAUUGUGGUGCACUUUUUUGGUUACAAGAAUCCAUUAAACAAAGAUCAAAAAACAAUGAGCCUCUCUUUACUCUUUGUUGCCAACAAGGAAAAAUUAAACUUCAAAGUCCAAAACCAACACCCUGUUUUUUAGAAAAUUUGCUGGAUCCUUAAAAAGGGAAAAAAAGUGUAUUAUUCAGAGAAAAUAUCAGGGUUUACAAUUCUAUGUUUGCAUUUACUUCAAUGGGAGCCAAAAUUGAUAAAUCAAUUAACAAUGGAUCAAGCCCUUAUGUUUUUAAAAUCAGUGGUCAAGUUCAUCAUUUAAUGGGUUCUUUAUUACCUCUUGAUGGUCAAUGUCCUAAAUUUGCCCAACUUUAUAUAUAUGAUACCCAUAAUGAGGUUUUGAAUCGACUUGAUGCAGUUAAUUGUAAUCAAAAAAAUGAAAAACUAGAUCAAAACAUUGUGGAAGGUUUAAUCCAAAUGUUUGAUCAAACAAAUGAAUUGGUUAAACUUUUUCGAACAAUUAGAGAUAGAUUUGAAAAAGGUUCUCUUCCUCCUCUAAAGAUCACAUUGUUAGGCAGGCAAUCCAAUGAUAGCAAACAAUAUGAACAACCAACAUGUGAUGAAAUUGGUGGUUUAAUAGUAGGAGAUAUAGGCCUUUUUGAUUCAAAUAGAGAUAUUAUAAUAGAAUUUAAAAGUGGAGAGUUAAAACGCGUAACAAAAUUAAAUCCAAAAUACAUGUCUUUACAAUAUCCUCUUCUUUUUCCUAUUGGUGAAGAUGGGUAUACACCUGACUUAAAAUGCCAUUGUACAAACUAUGAAUCUAAACGAAAAAGAAUUUCUAUGAGAGCUUUUAUAGCUUAUCAAAUACAAGAAAGAGUGUUUCAAUUCGAUACAUUAUUAAAAGGUGGAAGAUUGUUCCAACAAUUUUUAGUAGACGCUUAUGCAACACUUGAAGAAGAUCGAUUAGAUUAUAUUAGGAAAAAUCAAAAAAAUUUAAGAAGUGAGGUUUAUAAAGGCAUUUAUUAUGAUGCAAUUUCAAAGGGUGAUAAUGAUGCUAAUAACAUAGGUCAAAGAGUGAUAUUACCUAGCUCAUAUACUGGAAGUGCUAGAUACAUGCUUAACAAUUAUCAAGAUGCUAUGGCAAUUUGUAGACAAUAUGGAAAUCCUGAUUUAUUUAUAACUUUCACCUGCAAUGUUAAAUAGCCCGAAAUUGUAAGAGAGUUUAAUGCAAAACCUGGAUACAAACCAGAAGAUCGGCCUGAUAUAGUUUCAAGAUUAUUUAAAAUAAAACUUGAUGAUAUGAUCAAUUAUAUCAAAUCAGGAGAACCUUUUGGAGAAAUCGAAGAAGGUAUAUUUUAAAAACACACCAUUUAUACUACUCUCCAUUUUUAUCAUUUUAUUAAAUAAUAAAACUAAGUAAGAAUUUUUUCCCUUUUUUCACCCAAUCAACAUAGAUGUUUGUACUGUCGAAUUCCAAAAAAGAGGAUUGCCACAUGCUCACAUGUUGAUCUGGUUAAAACAAAAUUAUAAAUGUUAUUCAGCAGUUGAUAUAGAUUCUAUCAUUUAUGCUGAAUUACCGGACAAAACUGUAAAUUAUGAUCUUUAUGAUAUUGUGGCUCAAUUUAUGAUCCAUGGUCCAUGUGGACAAAUAAAUCCUCAUUCUCCAUGUAUGCGAGAAGGAAAAUGUUCUAAAUCUUUUCCCAAACAAUAUAAAAGCGAAACAAUUUUUGAAACAAAUGGUUACCCUGUAUACAAACGCCGUGACGAUCCAACAAAAUUUGUGAUAAAAAAUGGAAUGCAAAUUGAUAAUAGUUUUGUAGUACCUUACAAUUCUAAAUUACUACAGAGAUAUAAUGCUCAUAUAAAUGUUGAAUCCUGUUGUCAAUCAAUGCUUAUAAAAUAUCUUUUCAAAUAUAUAAACAAAGGUUCAGAUAGAGCUAGAGUAGUUUUCCAAGAGAACCAACAAGAUGAAAUACUUGCCUAUCUAAAUUGUAGAUACAUAUCUCCAUAUGAAGCUGUUUGGAGAUUGUUUCAAUAUCCUAUUCAUUUUAGAAAACCCUCAGUUGAACGAUUACCAAUACAUUUACCUUUACAACAAAAUAUUAUUUUCAAUGGUGAUCAAUCGCUUCAAUCAAUUGUUAACCGAAAAAAUGUUGAAUCUACAAUGUUAACAAGUUGGUUUGAAGCUAAUAAAACUUUUCAUGAAGCACGAACAUUAACGUAUGCAGAAUUUCCUUCAAAAUUUGUGUGGGAUUCUCGCACUAAGAUGUGGAAACCUAGAAAAAAAAAAAAAAGGAUCCCUUGGUAGAAUAGCUUAUGAACAUCCUGCAUCUGGUGAAUUAUAUUAUUUAAGAAUGCUUUUGAAUUUGCAAAAAGGGGCUUUUCACUUUAAUGACCUAAAAACUGUUAAUGGUAUUAUAGAACCAUCAUACCAAGCUGCAUGUAAAUCCCUAGGUUUGUUAGGAGAUGAUAAAGAAUGGAUUGAAGCCUUAGCAAAUGCUGUAAACACAACCACAUGUCCUCAAUUAAGGCAAUUAUUUGUCACAAUCAUUUUAUUUUGUGAUGUAGGAAAUCCUCAAAUCCUUUUUAACACUUAUUGGCAAGAUAUGUCUGAAGACAUUUUAUACAAAUUACGACAAACUUUCGAAAUCCCAAAUCUAAUAGUAUCAGAAUCUGAAUUAAAAAAUUCUCUUUUAUUUGAAUUAGAACAGCUUUUCAAUGUAUCUUCUAGCUCUUUAAAAGAGCAUCACCUUCCUAUGCCAGAUGAACAUAAAAUGUUAGAACUUAGAAAUAAAUUGCUUAGAGAAGAAUUAAAUUACGAUUAUAAUAAUUUAGAAAAAGAACAUGCCAUUUUAGUUACACAACUUAACAAAGAUCAAAAAGAUGUAUAUGAUUGUGUUGUAAAAACUGUUGAAAAAAAAAUUCCAGGCCUUUUUUUUGUCCACGGUCAUGGAGGAACAGGGAAAACUUUUUUGUGGCAUACCAUAAUAAGUAUGCACAAUUGUUCUUUAAUGCGAGAACAACUUUCAAAGAACUACCAACCAUUCACCCACACAUUCCACAACAUCGAUUUUAUCUGGUAGAUUAUACUCAAUUGUCCACUCGCAUAGACAAAAUUGACAUCCUAACAGGUAAUACUCUAUAUAUUAUUAAAAACUAUGCAUAUAUAUACAAUAAGUAUUUAUCCAAAAAAUUUCCACAUUUUAAUAUCCUUAUGAUAUUUUUUUUAUCAUAUUGCAAGAUGUUUUUGGACGCAUUACUGGAAUACAACCAUUGGAACAAAAAAUGGUGGGCAAUGAGAGGCUUGAGGAUAAAUGUGAAGUCUGCAUCGAAAAUAUCAGGUACAAAUAUUCAGAAAAUGUUUAUAAUUCAAAAUUUAAACUAUUAUAUCUGUUUCUAAAUAUAUUUUUUCUCCACAUCUAAUCAUUCAGGAAAGAAGAUGUUAGAAUAACCCUGUGGGGAGAUAACUUUUGAUUCCCAAGCUUUACAACAAUUGACAUCGCCAAUAUUUGCAGCUUUUACAAGCCUGAAAGUUAAACAAUUUCAAGGUAUCCAAUUUAUUUUCACUUUUUCCUAUUAUUUACACUUCAUUUCAAAUAAAAACCAAUCUAAUUUAUUAUUUAUCAAUAUGUAGGGAAAAUUGUUCUCAACAGUAGUGUCUCCACAUUAAUUUUUAUCAAUCCAGAUAUACAAGAAUUGGCGGCCUACAAAACGAUGUAUGAAUUGUUAUCAUUUUUAUUCUAACAUAUACCUUUGUUUCCCCAUUUUCCUAAAUUAACACCUCUUUUUUAUUAUAUAAAAAUAACAAUAACCACAGCUUUAAUGACUCCACACAUGCCAUUAAAAUGAUGCCUUCUUCCGCCACUCAACUAAUGACACCUCAACAUUUAGAAGCUGCUAAAAAGCUAUAUGUCCAAGAGUUAAAUGUUCUUGAUCCAGAGACACAUAAGGUACAUACAUUAACUUCUUUCUUUGAUCUCUUUAUUAUUCAUAUUUUAACAUACAAUUUCACAGAUUAUUUAAACUAAUUUUCACUUUAUUCUUCUCUUAUCACUAUAUAUUUUAUAAUUUUUUUUGCUAUAUUAAUAUAUAUUUUUAAAAUAUGUUUUAGGACACUCCCAUUUUAUGCAGAGCAGCUAUUACGCGUUUUGACACACGUAAUGGUUGGUGGUAUAAAGCAUGUCCAUCUUGCUUUAAACAACUUAGAACUGCUGCCCACCGUGAUGAACUUUUGUGCCCAAAACACAAUAAUCAAAUUCCUCUCCCUUGGU
rnacentral:lncRNA from 1 species